UAUGGCUCAGGAUGAACGCUAGCUACAGGCUUAACACAUGCAAGUCGAGGGGCAGCAUAACGAAAGCUUGCUUUGUUGAUGGCGACCGGCGCACGGGUGAGUAACGCGUAUCCAACCUUCCCUAUAGUAGAGAAUAGCCCGGCGAAAGUCGGAUUAAUGCUCUAUGUUCUUCUUUGAUGGCAUCUGAGGAGAAGCAAAGGUUCACCGCUAUAGGAUGGGGAUGCGUCUGAUUAGGUAGUCGGCGGGGUAACGGCCCACCGAGCCAACGAUCAGUAGGGGUUCUGAGAGGAAGGUCCCCCACAUUGGUACUGAGACACGGACCAAACUCCUACGGGAGGCAGCAGUGAGGAAUAUUGGUCAAUGGGCGAGAGCCUGAACCAGCCAAGUAGCGUGCAGGACGACUGCCCUAUGGGUUGUAAACUGCUUUUAUGCGGGAAUAAAGUCCACUACGUGUAGUGGUUUGUAUGUACCGCAUGAAUAAGGACCGGCUAAUUCCGUGCCAGCCGCUGC
rnacentral:rRNA from 1 species